ACGUGAAAUUCCGUCGGAAUCUGGGAGGACCAUCUCCUAAGGCUAAAUACUCUCUAGUGACCGAUAGUGAACCAGUACCGUGAGGGAAAGGUGAAAAGCACCCCGGAAGGGGAGUGAAAUAGAACCUGAAACCGUGUGCUUACAAGUAGUCAGAGCCCGUUAAUGGGUGAUGGCGUGCCUUUUGUAGAAUGAACCGGCGAGUUACGAUUUGAUGCAAGGUUAAGCAGUAAAUGUGGAGCCGUAGCGAAAGCGAGUCUGAAUAGGGCGUUUAGUAUUUGGUCGUAGACCCGAAACCAGGUGAUCUACCCUUGGUCAGGUUGAAGUUCAGGUAACACUGAAUGGAGGACCGAACCGACUUACGUUGAAAAGUGAGCGGAUGAACUGAGGGUAGCGGAGAAAUUCCAAUCGAACCUGGAGAUAGCUGGUUCUCUCCGAAAUAGCUUUAGGGCUAGCCUCAAGUGAUGAUUAUUGGAGGUAGAGCACUGUUUGGACGAGGGGCCCCUCUCGGGUUACCGAAUUCAGACAAACUCCGAAUGCCAAUUAAUUUAACUUGGGAGUCAGAACAUGGGUGAUAAGGUCCGUGUUCGAAAGGGAAACAGCCCAGACCACCAGCUAAGGUCCCAAAAUAUAUGUUAAGUGGAAAAGGAUGUGGCGUUGCCCAGACAACUAGGAUGUUGGCUUAGAAGCAGCCAUCAUUUAAAGAGUGCGUAAUAGCUCACUAGUCGAGUGACACUGCGCCGAAAAUGUACCGGGGCUAAACAUAUUACCGAAGCUGUGGAUUGUCCUUUGGACAAUGGUAGGAGAGCGUUCUAAGGGCGUUGAAGCAUGAUCGUAAGGACAUGUGGAGCGCUUAGAAGUGAGAAUGCCGGUGUGAGUAGCGAAAGACGGGUGAGAAUCCCGUCCACCGAUUGACUAAGGUUUCCAGAGGAAGGCUCGUCCGCUCUGGGUUAGUCGGGUCCUAAGCUGAGGCCGACAGGCGUAGGCGAUGGAUAACAGGUUGAUAUUCCUGUACCACCUAUAAUCGUUUUAAUCGAUGGGGGGACGCAGUAGGAUAGGCGAAGCGUGCGAUUGGAUUGCACGUCUAAGCAGUAAGGCUGAG
rnacentral:rRNA from 1 species